UUAAGUAAUUUUCACCAAUUUGAUUACUUUUUAUCCAUGCUAAAUCAUAUUGGAUGAAUGUUUCUUUUGUUGGUUUUCAAUUACUACGAAAAAGUGUUGAAAAUUUUGAUAGGCUUUUUCUCAAACUUUUGGGUUUACUGAAAAAAUGCAUGAUUCAUCAUUAUAUUGCAUGAUUUUUUUAACUCAAACCUGGUUCUCUAGCAACAGAUAAGACUACCGUAUCAGCGGGAAAUGCGUUAUAGUAAAAGUGGAAAAUGAAGUGAGACAAAGUAGGCUUAUUGUAAAUAAACCAAAAGUAAAUUAAUAAAUAUUCAAAAAAUAUUAGGUUAAGAAAUUAAUAAUUUUUCAAGUUUAAAAUAAUCUUGAAGUUUAAGCCUAUUAUCAGAAUAAUUUUAUUGAGCUCGUAAUAAACCUAACAAUGGACAUUCAUUAAGCUCAUUGUCAUUCAUCCUAAAUCCUUGCAGUACCGUAACAAGAAAAUUAAAAUCAAACUUUUAUUGUUGGAAAUAGUUUUUUUCGAUACUAUUCAAAUAAGAUAUCAGAACCAGAGACAUGAAUGUAAGAUACUGUUGGCUAUAAAUUUAGAAUGACAUUUUUAUUUCCAAGUGUUUAAUGAUGAACACUAUUCGUACAGGAGAGAGGCUGAAGAAUUUUGUCAAUAUGAGUGGACUAUGUUAUCUUUAUUUCACGGCCUAUUAAAUAGUGUUCACGGCCUAUUAAGUAGAGAAAUUUUAAUGAAAAUGUUCAGGCUACUAUAGCGUAAAAUCUUCUCUUAUAAUACGGUAGCCGACAAAUAGGCCUACCGUUACAAUAUAAAGAAGGAAUGAGUCGGAUUCAUCAUAUUGAUAAAUAAUAACUUCCACAUAGGUGAACAUACAGCUGGCACGAAUGACUGAUAAGCUACAAUGGAAAGGAGAUAGAUAUGUGCCUUUUGCAGAGAAAACUUGCAAUCUGCCAGAAUAUUGUUUAUCAAGAAACGUGAAACUUUUUAUAAAAUUUCUCUCAGAGAUUUAUCAUUAUGACAACUGGAUCCGUCGAUGACAAUUAGAUGGAUAUUGUAAACAGUGCUUCAACUUAUCAACAUGAUUAUAAAUUUAUUGGCUUGGAAAGACGUUUUUGAUCAACAUUCAGCUAUUCAAGAAGGGUACCAACUCGUUUCCUCCACUGAUAUAAGUAUUUUUCAUCCGAAAUUUGAUUAAUGGAGAAAAAUUG